rnacentral:rRNA from 1 species
UGCAAGUCGAACGGUAGCACAGAGAGCUUGCUCUCGGGUGACGAGUGGCGGACGGGUGAGUAAUGUCUGGGAAACUGCCUGAUGGAGGGGGAUAACUACUGGAAACGGUAGCUAAUACCGCAUAACGUCGCAAGACCAAAGAGGGGGACCUUCGGGCCUCUUGCCAUCAGAUGUGCCCAGAUGGGAUUAGCUAGUAGGUGGGGUAACGGCUCACCUAGGCGACGAUCCCUAGCUGGUCUGAGAGGAUGACCAGCCACACUGGAACUGAGACACGGUCCAGACUCCUACGGGAGGCAGCAGUGGGGAAUAUUGCACAAUGGGCGCAAGCCUGAUGCAGCCAUGCCGCGUGUAUGAAGAAGGCCUUCGGGUUGUAAAGUACUUUCAGCGGGGAGGAAGGUGUUGUGGUUAAUAACCACAGCAAUUGACGUUACCCGCAGAAGAAGCACCGGCUAACUCCGUGCCAGCAGCCGCGGUAAUACGGAGGGUGCAAGCGUUAAUCGGAAUUACUGGGCGUAAAGCGCACGCAGGCGGUCUGUCAAGUCGGAUGUGAAAUCCCCGGGCUCAACCUGGGAACUGCAUUCGAAACUGGCAGGCUAGAGUCUUGUAGAGGGGGGUAGAAUUCCAGGUGUAGCGGUGAAAUGCGUAGAGAUCUGGAGGAAUACCGGUGGCGAAGGCGGCCCCCUGGACAAAGACUGACGCUCAGGUGCGAAAGCGUGGGGAGCAAACAGGAUUAGAUACCCUGGUAGUCCACGCCGUAAACGAUGUCGACUUGGAGGUUGUGCCCUUGAGGCGUGGCUUCCGGAGCUAACGCGUUAAGUCGACCGCCUGGGGAGUACGGCCGCAAGGUUAAAACUCAAUUGAAUUGACGGGGGCCCGCACAAGCGGUGGAGCAUGUGGUUUAAUUCGAUGCAACGCGAAGAACCUUACCUACUCUUGACAUCCAGAGAACUUAGCAGAGAUGCUUUGGUGCCUUCGGGAACUCUGAGACAGGUGCUGCAUGGCUGUCGUCAGCUCGUGUUGUGAAAUGUUGGGUUAAGUCCCGCAACGAGCGCAACCCUUAUCCUUUGUUGCCAGCGGUCCGGCCGGGAACUCAAAGGAGACUGCCAGUGAUAAACUGGAGGAAGGUGGGGAUGAUGUCAAGUCAUCAUGGCCCUUACGAGUAGGGCUACACACGUGCUACAAUGGCGCAUACAAAGAGAAGCGAACUCGCGAGAGCAAGCGGACCUCAUAAAGUGCGUCGUAGUCCGGAUUGGAGUCCCCAACUCGACUCCAUGAAGUCGGAAUCGCUAGUAAUCGUAGAUCAGAAUGAUACGGUGAAUACGUUCCCGGGCCUUGUACACACCGCCCGUCACACCAUGGGAGUGGGUUGCAAAAGAAGUAGGUAGCUUAAC